rnacentral:lncRNA from 1 species
AACUUCAAUCUUCUGCAUCAAAUCCAAGCAUGUGUACUGUUUGAUAAACUGCUUCUUUUUGUUUGUUCUUUUCUUGAGGUCCUGUUUACAUCAGGGAAAGAUCUCCAGAUUACAGCAGGAGUCAAUCACAGCUUUCCCAAAAGCUCUCACCUGACUCGAGUCCAACUUGAUGGCAUCCAUUUUCAGAAAGCAGAUGCUGCCCUCUUUUACACUGGUGCCAUUCUGGAAUAACUCCACUGACGUCAGUGAAGUGACUCCAAAUUUAUCCCCGGCAGAAGCAGAAUUGGACCACAGUCUCUUUGUCUUGCCUCUCUGCUCUGGAGCUCUGGGGGAGGUAUGCCACUGCCUCACCAUAAGCACUUCCAGUUCAAGAGGAGUCACAUUUGCUGCCAGAGAGUUUUCCUAA